rnacentral:lncRNA from 1 species
GCGGCGGCGGCGUGGGCUGCACGGCCAGCGGCUCCCCAGCUCCCUCCUGCCCCAUAGGGGCCGGGCCGGGCGAAAGGAGGGCCGCCGAGGGAGGGGGGCGGCGGAGCGCGUCUCAGGGCCGCGGGGCGAGCGCCACAGACACUUGUUUGCAAGGCUCAGCCCCGGCGCGCGCGCGGCGCUCAGAGCGGGUCCGCCUCCUCCCAGCCGGGUAGGCGGCGGCCCUAGCCGAGCCAGCCCGGCUCCUCCUCCGGCUCCUCCUUCUCGCCCGCGAAGCCCGGCACCGGCUCCGCGGGGUCCCCGCCCCAGUACCCUCGGGCGGGCCCGGCGCGGCCCCCCGGGAAGGUGCUGGGUUCCCCCGGGCAACGCUCGCGGACGGCUCGGGUCGGUGCCCGGGAGCCGGCCGCGGUGUGCACUCGCCCGCAGACUCGGUCCGCCUCCCAGCGUCUCCUCCGGGUUUAUUCCCGGCCGCAGCUGCCGCUUCGGCGCACACACACAUUCACGCAGCAACACGCAAAUUCAUUCUUGUCACUCCCGGGGACCUGAGGAACCCGCGCGGAGAGUCUUUGCUCCAGCCCUGCGAGGCACUGUUGUAUCCAGUUUAGAGAACGCUCUACUUACCAGAGAUCUCGAAGUGCCCCGGUGGUGAUGAGAUUGAACCCAAAGCCCUGAGAAAAGCCUCACUGAGCAGUGUCAAAGGUAGAUGAGACUGGUUUAUCCAAGAGAGAGAAAGAACUGGGGCCAGUUGGAAAGAGCUUCCUGCAGUAAGGGGAAAGAGGUAGGGAUGGCAAUUAUAGUAGGACAUGAAAUUAUAAGGAGUUAUGAAAAAAGUGGAAUUCACAAGGGUCCGUUCCAGAACAGGUUAGAGGAAUGGGUUGGAUCUUAAACCUACAAUCAGAAUUGGGUUUAAAUCAUUUGAGAUUUUGUAGGACGGAUGAGCAUAUGAUAGGAACAAUUAAGUGCUUUGUGGCUACACUAUUUAAAAACAACAAUGACAACAACUGGCUUAGACCUUUCAAGGGAAAGGUCUCAUAUUCUUACCUGUUCUUUAGCUUAUGGGAUCAAGGGGAUGUUAUUCUUACUCAAUUUAUAGAACAUACCUUUUCUCCCUGUGUCCAAUUAAUAUACUAGAUCCAUCAACUUCCUGGCUUUAAAAAGCCUUCUAUUUUGGUUCUCAGUGAAGCCUUAGUUUUUCUGGCAUCACGGUUCUAUUUUAAAAAGUCCUUCUCUGUUAGAGAUACUAGAGUAUUUGCAAGUGCUUUAAAAUACUCCAGCCCCAAAACCAUGACCGUAUAGAUGAAUCAAUACUGA